AAAUCGUUUCGUUGACAAAUGAAACGCGCUUUACUUUUCGCUUGUGUUUAAUUUGAAAAGUGUCUCGAGAUGCAAUACUGUUAUAUUAACAAUAACAAUAUUAUUUGACUCUUCCAAUUUCUUCCAGUCUGUGCUUCUUGCAUGGGACUUGACGAUUCUAAAUAAUUUGAUGGCUCCGUCGCUUCACGAAAACUUCCCUUGAACCGCAACGACGUCAAUGACUAUAUUCGUCCCAUCUAAACGCGAAGAGGAGAAAAUCCAUUUUACGCAUACCUAACAGCCUGUGCUGCUAUGUGAAACUGGACUAGUUUGUCUUUUGGUAACGGGUGCUUUCCUCAGAUAUAGAAUCCGUACAGUACCCGGGCCCCCUAGGACCAUAGGGGUUGGAGAAAACGCCCAACCAUCGCACAAGGCACCCAGUGCCUUGCUCCCUGGAUUAGCUAAGCCUGCAGGGGCUGUCGCUUGUCUCAGGUCGAACGGGGCACAUUCUAAGCAUGUGAAACUGGACUGGAUGAUAUGCCCUAUCUCCUCUUAUGUCUCCUCCUUUCUUCAUCACCGCGUGGUACAACAAUGUAGUUAACAACCCUGGAAUCACCGCAAGCGUUACUUCAGGGUUGGUCUCAUCGUUAGUUUGUACUUUAUACGAGGAGACUACAUAGGUAUCCUAUUCUCUGCAGCCAUUUUUCUUUCCAUAUAUUUUCCGCUUCAUUUUCCAAUUUCUGAGCCCUGAGGGACAAUGACAUACGCUUCUCUCGUCACCUUCUCAUCGAUACUUCUUACUACUACUUUUAUGUCCGAUAAGUAAUCGGUGUCGGCAAUCCCGCAAACGACAUGUAGCGGCCGGAAGACUGAGUCAGAGGACUAUUCAAAUCAUGUCGUUGUUUUGCCCCGGAGUAUCAAUAUCGUUAGGAUACAAAUAAUGUAAUAAUAGGUAAACUUCGGGAAAAAUGAUGUCGCAGCUACGCAUAACCGUCGAACAAAGACGAAUUUGAAUCUUCCGACCGAGUCCCCGACCAACCGAAAAGAGUUUAGUAUUUCCGAGUAUCUUUCUGUACCAACGAGCGAUCUAAGUGUUAUCUACCGAAUUAUUAGACGAGUAUUUAUCGAGUAUUUAUCCGCGAUUUUAUUUUACUAUUUAUACUUUGUACUAACGACUCAACGAAUAUAGGCUGUACAUUAACUUAUUGUUUUAAAUAAAUUCGACGGUUGUGACAACAAACGACAAUCUCCAAUUAAUCUCACGAUCAAGUAUCCAUAUAUACCUGUCCUCUACAAACACAUAGCGCGUCGACCGUACCUCUUCUCCUCCUACAUCCGAAAUGAUCGGCGUGGGUGGGUUCCUGUCCCAGGUUCCUCUCGACGAGGGCUUUGAAGGUAUGUUCCCACGCCUUGCUCGACACCGGCAGAAUACCAAUAGGCCUAAACGAAGUAAAGAGAAGGGGAUCCUUCCUAGGUUUGGGAAAGACCACCAUUGUAGCCACCUUUCAAAUUUUUGGUAUUUUACCCGUUCUAUUUAUAUCGUUGAACAUGUUUAAGAGUUCCCCGAAUCCCCUUUGCUCCGCUACUAAUUUCGCUACUUAUUCAGGUAUCCCAUCCACGCCAGCAGUUUUUUCGGAGUUUAAUCGUUUGACGGCCUUCUUCACUUCAUCCCGCUGUACUACGAUGCUGAGCGCUCCAUCCUCGUCGCUGACAUGGGUCAUUUCACCACCGAAUUUAUCAAUCCGUGGGACAGGCUUCGUCUGGAAAAGCGUGUUCUUCUCUACUUUUUAGGCUAACUUUAACUCCUUUCGCUUCGGGUGGCGCUUAUAGGCGACAUCCACGAAAUGACCUGUGGGUACGAGCGUCGCAUAUAAGCGACGACUGCGCGACGUAUCCUGGGUUCGGCACUCCAUAUAUCAGGCAUACACCAAUGCCACUUGUAGUCAAUAAUAUAUUUUUUCGUUAUCGGUAGAACAUUUUCUAUUGAUUUUAUUGAUAUAUUGGAUUAAUCACUUUUUAAAAGUUACUCAUUGUUGAAACAACAACAACAAAAUUUCAAACACCCAAACGAUCGUAUACCAUUUCGUGCUAAAAAAUCUGUUAAAUCCAUUGACAGUGAAACGAUAUUUCAUAUACGGUUCUUACAAGAAUUAUUGUUAUUUAAAACUUAGGUAAACGCAUAUACAGCAACCACGCACACUGUGCGCAUUUCUGGCGCGCGCUUCCGUUCAGUGACAGUACUUUGGCAGUCUGGACUGCCGAAGCGAAAGGGUUAAAGAUUCUAGUUGGUCGGCAUUGUUGGAAUUAUUUAUUGUUACCCCCUGGACCUUUCUUCUACAUAACAUUGUUUUCAUCCUCGGUGCGGAUAGGUCUUCGUUGCACCAGUAGUUUGCACCCUUCCUCUCACCAAGGGGAACGUCUUUUUUAGUUUUGCGGCACAUGUUUUUCAAGACUCUCUUGAAACAAAUCUCCGUGUACCUACUCGUCUAGUCAAUUUCUUUCUCAAGUUAUUCGUUAAAUUUAAGGAUAAAAUUAUCUGGGUCAAUGCCCUUCAUAGAAUAUUUAAAGUAACAGCUUUUUCUUCCGGUCGUUUUACCAUAAAAUUCGCGAUAAACAUACUGGUGGUCGUAGCACUCGAACGUAACCCGAACCCAACCCGAAUCUCGCGAAAUAGUAUACCA
rnacentral:lncRNA from 1 species